UACGUAGGGUGCGAGCGUUGUCCGGAAUUAUUGGGCGUAAAGGGCUCGUAGGCGGUUUGUCGCGUCGGGAGUGAAAACAUCCAGCUUAACUGGGUGCUUGCUUUCGAUACGGGCAGACUUGAGGUAUGCAGGGGAGAAUGGAAUUCCAGGUGUAGCGGUGAAAUGCGCAGAUAUCAGGAGGAACACCGGUGGCGAAGGCGGUUCUCUGGGCAUUACCUGACGCUGAGGAGCGAAAGUGUGGGGAGCGAACAGG
rnacentral:rRNA from 1 species